rnacentral:rRNA from 1 species
UACGUAGGGUGCAAGCGUUAAUCGGAAUUACUGGGCGUAAAGCGUGCGCAGGCGGUGAUGUAAGACAGAUGUGAAAUCCCCGGGCUCAACCUGGGAACUGCAUUUGUGACUGCAUAGCUAGAGUACGGUAGAGGGGGAUGGAAUUCCGCGUGUAGCAGUGAAAUGCGUAGAUAUGCGAAGGAACACCGAUGGCGAAGGCAAUCCCCUGGACCUGUACUGACGCUCAUGCACGAAAGCGUGGGGAGCAAACAGG